UACGAAGGGUGCAAACGUUGCUCGGAAUCAUUGGGCGUAAAGCGCACGUAGGCGGCCUCAUAAGUCGGACGUGAAAUCCCUCGGCUCAACCGAGGAAGUGCAUCCGAAACUGCGAGGCUCGAGUAUGGAAGAGGGUCGCAGAAUUCCCGGUGUAGAGGUGAAAUUCGUAGAUAUCGGGAGGAAUACCAGUGGCGAAGGCGGCGACCUGGGCCAAUACUGACGCUGAGGUGCGAAAGCGUGGGGAGCAAACAGG
rnacentral:rRNA from 1 species